rnacentral:rRNA from 1 species
CAGCCGCCGCGGUAAUACGUAGGUGGCAAGCGUUGUCCGGAAUUAUUGGGCGUAAAGGGCUCGCAGGCGGUCUCUUAAGCCUGAUGUGAAAGCCCCCGGCUCAACCGGGGAGGGUCAUUGGAAACUGGGAAACUUGAGUGCAGAAGAGGAGAGUGGAAUUCCACGUGCAGCGGUGAAAUGCGUAGAGAUGUGGAGGAACACCAGUGGCGAAGGCGACUCUCUGGUCUGUAACUGACGCUGAGGAGCGAAAGCGUGGGGAGCGAACAGGAUUAGAUACCCCUGUAGUCCCUGUCUCUUAUAC